AGUGAACGCUGGCGGUAGGCCUAACACAUGCAAGUCGAACGGCAGCACAGUAGGAGCUUGCUCUUACGGGUGGCGAGUGGCGGACGGGUGAGGAAUACAUCGGAAUCUACUUUUUCGUGGGGGAUAACGAAGGGAAACUUACGCUAAUACCGCAUACGACCUACGGGUGAAAGCAGGGGAUCUUCGGACCUUGCGCGAUUGAAUGAGCCGAUGUCGGAUUAGCUAGUUGGCGGGGUAAAGGCCCACCAAGGCGACGAUCCGUAGCUGGUCUGAGAGGAUGAUCAGCCACACUGGAACUGAGACACGGUCCAGACUCCUACGGGAGGCAGCAGUGGGGAAUAUUGGACAAUGGGCGCAAGCCUGAUCCAGCCAUACCGCGUGGGUGAAGAAGGCCUUCGGGUUGUAAAGCCCUUUUGUUGGGAAGGAAAAGCAGCAGGUUAAUACCCCGCUGUUCUGACGGUACCCAAAGAAUAAGCACCGGCUAACUUCGUG
rnacentral:rRNA from 1 species